rnacentral:antisense_RNA from 1 species
CUUGACCGCCCCGAGCCACAGCGGCCGGUCAGCGCUACGGUCCCGGCCGUACGUGGCGAGCAGCGCCUGCGCCUC